CUGGGAUAAGCGUUGGAAACGACGUCUAAUACCGGAUACGAACCGCGAAGGCAUCUUCAGUGGUUGGAAAGAAUUUUGGUCAAGGAUGGACUCGCGGCCUAUCAGGUAGUUGGUGAGGUAAUGGCUCACCAAGCCUACGACGGGUAGCCGGCCUGAGAGGGUGACCGGCCACACUGGGACUGAGACACGGCCCAGACUCCUACGGGAGGCAGCAGUGGGGAAUAUUGCACAAUGGGCGAAAGCCUGAUGCAGCAACGCCGCGUGAGGGACGACGGCCUUCGGGUUGUAAACCUCUUUUAGCAGGGAAGAAGCGAAAGUGACGGUACCUGCAGAAAAAGCACCGGCUAACUACGUGCCAGCAGCCGCGGUAAUACGUAGGGUGCAAGCGUUGUCCGGAAUUAUUGGGCGUAAAGAGCUCGUAGGCGGUUUGUCGCGUCUGC
rnacentral:rRNA from 1 species